rnacentral:rRNA from 1 species
CUACGGGCGGCAGCAGUGAGGAAUAUUGCACAAUGGGGGAAACCCUGAUGCAGCAACGCCGCGUGAAGGAUGAAGGUUUUCGGAUCGUAAACUUCUUUGAUGAGGGAAGAAAAAUGACGGUACCUCAAAAACAAGCCACGGCUAACUACGUGCCAGCAGCCGCGGUAAUACGUAGGUGGCGAGCGUUGUCCGGAAUUACUGGGUGUAAAGGGCGUGUAGGCGGGAAUGUAAGUCAGAUGUGAAAUUCCGAGGCUCAACCUCGGAGCUGCAUCUGAAACUAUAUUUCUUGAGUGCUGGAGAGGAAAGCGGAAUUCCUAGUGUAGCGGUGAAAUGCGUAGAUAUUAGGAGGAACACCAGUGGCGAAGGCGGCUUUCUGGACAGUAACUGACGCUGAGGCGCGAAAGCGUGGGGAGCAAACAGGAUUAGAUACCCCCGUAGUC